UAUGAAGGUCAGGCUGAAGACCUUACCCGAUUAGCUGAGAGGUGGUGCAUGGCCGUCGUCAGUUCGUACUGUGAAGCAUCCUGUUAAGUCAGGCAACGAGCGAGACCCACGUCCACAGUUGCCAGCAUACCCUCCGGGGUGAUGGGUACACUGUGGAGACCGCCGCUGCUAAAGCGGAGGAAGGAGUGGGCAACAGUAGGUCAGUAUGCCCCGAAUCUCCCGGGCUACACGCGGGCUACAAUGGUUGGUACAAUGGGCAUCUACCCCGAAAGGGGAAGGAAAUCUCUUAAAGCCAAUCGUAGUUCGGAUUGAGGGCUGCAACUCGCCCUCAUGAAGCUGGAAUCCGUAGUAAUCGCGUUUCAACAGAACGCGGUGAAUACGUCCCUGCUCCUU
rnacentral:rRNA from 1 species